GGGGACUGUUCCCCCUGUGCCCUUGUGAGGCCACAUCUGGAGCACUGUGUCCAGGCCUGGGGCCCCCAGCAGGAGAAGGAUGUGGGGCUGUUAGAGCAGGUCCAGAGGAGGGUCAAAAAGGUGGAGCACUUCUAUGAAAAAAGGCUGAGAGAAAUGGGUUGACAUUGAGCAAGGGAGUCAUUUUCACAGGCAACCAUCAGUGUAGAUCCCCCAGCAGGAAACCUUGGAAGCAGCAUCUCAGGGAGCAGGGACUGGUACAGCCCCAUACGCUUACCUUACUGCCAUCACUGAUCGUAACGAGUAGACGGAGACAAUUAGCAGCUGGGGAAAGCUCUGUGGUUUCAUUCAGCCCUCAGGAAGAAUGAAACCUACAGUGGGAAAGUGUCUCCAAAGCAGCUGAGGCAAUUUGUUCCCCCGCCCCCCCCCCCUUGUAUGCAGCAAUGAUGAAUAAACUACCACUAUAAGUCUGGUUGUUACAAGAGCUCCUGCAGCCCUUUGGUCUUGUCGAUCAUCUGAUUGCCUUCACUGAAUGCUUCUGUGAGUGAGACCUUUUGGCAGGAGUGAAGUUGGAAAGAUGAAACACUUGUACAUAAUGACAGAUUCAUGGAAUAACAUGAAUAUUUAUACACACUGGCAUGAGACCACUGCACAUAAUUCAUCUCAGAUGCUUCAAACCAACCAGCUUUGUGGCUUAUAGAGACAGUCAACAAACACAACCAUGCUUUGCUCUCAGUGCUAUACCAGUGUUGAUGCAAUGGCCCUGCUGAACCACGACAAGGAGACUUCAGCCCAGUAUUAUCACAAGGACCAUAGCAGCACACUGCCUGCCCCACAAGCUUUGUGGGCCAGGCAUCUCAUACCUACAACUCCACUUCCCCACCACCUUUGCAUGAAGUUGGACCUUUCCCUGACAUCCCUAAAGGACUCUUCAAGGACAAGGACCAGAAGACAGAGCUCAGGAAACCAGCCUAGGUGAGGGAUCCAUCAGAGUGAAGAAACCCUACAGGCUUAUCUGUAGUGUUACUGAGCUUCAUGCUUCCUACAGUGUUUUUCUUAUUAGAACAGGUCAGCAGAGAGAUGUCCCUCCUAAGCACACAAACCAUCUGCUGCCUGCAGCAAUGCUACAUGCUGUGGUCCAGAGGGAAGCAGAGGGACCCACAUCCUUCUAGGACUCAGCCCCAGAACCUAACUCAGAAUACUGGAAACAAGCAUUCCCGAGGGCAGGCUGCUUUCCAGGAGCAUUAUGUUGCUAAACAAUCCAAGAAACUAACAGAGAACACUACACCCACAGACUGCCAGCAGUAGUCAUAGAAGGGAUGUGGACAGGGACUUACAGCCUGACCCUGCAUAACAUCUUCUCUGUUAUGCCUGCAGUUGUGCACAAUCAAUACUGAUUAUAUCCACCCUGUC
ensembl:lncRNA